CUACGAACCCUGCUCAGGGUAUUUAGUCAUUGAGCGGAAAUCGAAUUCUAGCUACUUCUGGUAAAUAUUUACUAUAAAUGGCGCAGAAGUAUGCAACAUGUUUGUACAUCAGAUAAAAUAGAUGCCUUCUGAUGUAUUAAACAUUCAACUUAAUGUAUUGUACAGCUGCAGCGGUCUUGUCCAGCUGAACUUCGUCUUCAAGUAUUAAAGCCCAUACCAGAUCAAGCGAGGAUUAGAGUCCACGAUAGUUGGCAGUCACGCGAACUUGGUUGUCUCAAGUCUGUUCCAGAUGCGUUAUCAACACUAUCAUGUAUUUAUUUAAGCUCAAACAUAUUUGGAGCACUUAUCAAACCUUUACUUUAUUAAUCUAGAGAUUGAAAUGUCCCCUGCAGUAACAAUGCGCGACUCUCGUUCUUGUUUGGCCAGGGCUAACUAUGCUUCAAGGCAGUCGACACUUUCUCGAAACAUUAUCUUAUUCAGAUAGACACAAAUCUGCGAACGUCAUUAGAGAGAUGACAGACAUUCACAGGUAUCCUUAGAAUGGACAGCAGUAUUUAACAGGCGAUAACAGUGCUGAAUAACUAUUGAUCUAAAGUAUGAAAGAAAACUAGAUUCCAGACAAUCUUUAACAAUAUUAUGGGACAAAUUUAGUGUUGCGUUGAAGCCAGAAUACGUCUCGUUUUUGUUUAUUUUUAUGGCAGCAACAUUGAACGGGGGAGGAGGGGGACGAACAUAAUUAAAGUUUUAAAUAUGCGAGGUGAAAGUUUCAGAAACCAUAUUUGAUAUAUGAAAUCUUUAAUGUACUUGAUAUCUAUGAUCGAUGUCUAAUUUAUCUUUAAAGAACUUAUUUUGCAUGUUACUUAAGCCUGGUCAUAUGGUCGUAAAGAUUGAUGUCACAAUCUUUCUCAUCAGCCGAAAUACAACACUUUAGAACUGAAAAUACGAGGAGUGAUUAUAACUAGAGAAUACUUAUGAUUUAAAUGUGUUUUACAGGUAUAAAGUUAUUAUAAACUGGCCGUUGCGAAAGCUCGCGACUCUAUUUUUACGAAUAUAUGGAAACCAGGCUUUAAUGCACGUACAAAAUAAGUGAUGACUGAGUUAUGUUUUAUAUGUACACUGCAAUCAAACUAUCGGACAAAUAGUGAAACGUCUGAUGGACCCGUUUGAAAAGAUUUUUUAAAUAUUUUAAAGACAUUAAACUUUCAUGUAUCAAAUAAAUAGAUUUUUCUCCCUUGGGCCUUGGAAAAGGCAUUGGAAGUCCAUAAAAAAUACAAGUUUCAAUUCGUUUUUCAUAUUGUCAAACAAACGAACAAAUCUCUGUUCAGGCAAUAAAAUACCUUCAGAAUGCAUGUAUUCGUAAGCGAUGGACGAACAAUAUCGUAAGCGCGAUGGACGAACGAUAUUCAUUCAUUAACACCUAUUAUCGAAGUGCAAUGAAAGAUAUCUAAAUAUCUAAAGUCUAAUAUCAUAUAAUUGGCAAAAGAAUUCAGAUAGAUGAAUUCAGACAGAAGGGCACGAAACGACCAUAUACAAAUUGAGAGCUUGCAUGGGGAUUUGCCUAGUUUCAUUUGGAAAAUGAGAUUUGCAUCAGCAAUUUAACUGCUUGGGAAUAAAAUUUGUUAUUUGGCAACUCCGCG